rnacentral:rRNA from 1 species
UGGGGAAUUUUGGACAAUGGGCGAAAGCCUGAUCCAGCAAUGCCGCGUGUGUGAAGAAGGCCUUCGGGUUGUAAAGCACUUUUGUCCGGAAAGAAAUCCUUGGCUCUAAUACAGUCGGGGGAUGACGGUACCGGAAGAAUAAGCACCGGCUAACUACGUGCCAGCAGCCGCGGUAAUACGUAGGGUGCAAGCGUUAAUCGGAAUUACUGGGCGUAAAGCGUGCGCAGGCGGUUUGCUAAGACCGAUGUGAAAUCCCCGGGCUCAACCUGGGAACUGCAUUGGUGACUGGCAGGGCUAGAGUAUGGCAGAGGGGGGUAGAAUUCCACGUGUAGCAGUGAAAUGCGUAGAGAUGUGGAGGAAUACCGAUGGCGAAGGCAGCCCCCUGGGCCAAUACUGAUGCUCAUGCACGAAAGCGUGGGAGCAAACAGGAUUAGAUACCCUGGUAGUCCACGCCCUAAACGAUGUCAACUAGUUGUUGGGGAUUCAUUUCCUUAGUAACGUAGCUAACGCGUGAAGUUGACCGCCUGGGGAGUACGGUCGCAAGAUUAAAACUCAAAUGAAUUGACGGGGUCAUAGCUG